GACGAGGACGAAAACUGUAUUAUCCCGAGUCUGACUAUUGAAAUCAUUUGAGAACUCUCUCUCUCUCGCGCGCGCGGUAGUGAGAAAAAUUGCAGAAGUCCAUCUUCAGUCUUCACGACCACGAAUCCAUCGGCACGCGGCACACCUUCUCUCCGACUCCACCAUUAAGAGUGAACAGGCCCAAGGGAGCCAACGGUGGACGACAAGGGGACUCCACUUUGAAUUUUCCGGUGGUAUGCUCACGGAUGUCUGAGAAUGUUUUUGUGAAAUUUGUUUAAAGAAAGAACAAAGAACCUUAAUCUGUGCCGUCAGUCCAGCAGCAACAGCAGCGUUCUUCUUUCUUCCAUCUCCUCACAUAGUGUCUUCUCUCUCUUCUUCCUUUUUGCUUCUAUCAAAGAGAAAGUUCUGCCUGUCAUUUUUUUAUCUGUUUUUCUCAAUUGUAAUUAUCAAUAAUGUUAGAUCUUAACAUUACUUUAUACUAUCAAUCGGGACGGAAUGGAUGAGAGUAUGAAGCAAUUCCAGCAGGGACUGAUCGAGGUUGAAAUUGAAGCGGAAAAUCUUUUAUUAGCACGCCAUGAGUUGGUUGAAAUUGAUAGAGUGAGGAAUGGCAACAGGGAAGCUUUAACAGCCCUAAGAAAGAGGGCUAAAACAACAAAUACCAGUGUCCCUUCCCCAUUCGAGUCAAUAAUGAGGGAUGUUGAUACAAGGCCACUGGUGAAAGAGGUCUGUGCAACCUGUGGUGAUCAUGACUCAAGGGAGAAGACGUUGUUGAUGUUUCCUGGAACUGAUGUCUUUGCUGCUAUACCAUUUCAUGCUGCUCAUACCAUUUUAGAGAAAGAUCAAGCACGCCUUGAUUUUGAUUCUAAGAAACUCCAAAGCUAUGUGAAAGAGAAGUCCUUUUCGAUAUCAGAAAAAGGUGUUCUUGCCGACAAGAUCAGUCCUGGUGUGCUAAGAUCUCUUGUGACCUUAACUGACAAAGCAAAGACUGAGGAGAAAGAUUGAUCAUGGCAGUAGGGAUUUAAAUUGUUACCGACAGGAGGUCUGAAAUUCCGGCUGAAUGAAGAAGAAAGACAGCGACUAAAGAAGCUACCUACUAAUGAUGAGAGCUGCUGUCAAGAGGAAUUACAGGUUUAGAUGGCUGCAGUUAAUUUUUUCAUGCCAAGGAGUGUCAUGAUUUGUGAUGCGUACGCACCGGCACUCUUGAAUGGACAGGUUGGCUGAAAAAUUCAGAAGGACGAAAAUAUUGAUACACAUGAUAUGAUAAGAAACAGAGGAGAAGACAAGCUUCUGGGUCCCAUAAGUAGUUCCACUCAUAUUCUCGCAUUUUGUAUUAUGCUUUUGAGACAAAGCCUUGAAAUUUCUUCAAUACCUUAUAUCAUCUUUCCGAAGGGUUACUAUUUGGACAUAGAUUGUCUUAGAAGACAGUGUGUGUGAACAGACAUAAAGCUUAAUUACACUUUGAAUAUCAAGAAUCACUUAUUCUUGUACUGUGCAUUGAUUGGACGACAUGGAUUGUGAUUAGUUGUGAGGAUCAGUGAUCGAAAGAUAUGGGACACUGAGGAAAAUGAGAUGUGAUAAGUUUUAAUCAGUUGUAAGCAAUAGAGAUAAAAAGAUGUGGACCAUUAAGGUAAGUAGGAUGUCACCAGCUCUGAUUAAAUAUGGACCAUUUAGGAGAAUGAGAUGACACGAGUUUUGAUUAGUUGUGAGCAUCAUAGAUCGAAUAAUGUGAACCGUUGAGAGAACUAGGGUGUCAGUGCGGCGGACAUGAUUCUUAUUAGGAGGCAUGUAUAUAUGAUUGAUCACAAUUGGAAAGUUGGGGGGGCAGUGUCCUGAUUGAUCCACAAACCAAAAUCAAUGUAUUGUACCUGCUUUAUGGCUGUCAUUAUUUUCAUGAUUAAGGUUGUGAGAUGUUGACAAUGCAGUAAGGAAAAGUAGUUGUUGCUUAAGCAAAUAUCUCUAUUAUUGAUAACAUCUCACUAUCCUGGAAUUAAUGAAGACGGAGGAUGCAUGGCACUUGCACUAAGCAAAUUUGCUACUGUUGUCUGGUAGGAGUUUUGUGUUUACUAUGGUUUCAGAAUUUUAAGGUUAAUUGGACAAAAGGGCAAACAGUGGGACACAGGGAAAAACAAAACAAAAAAAAAAAAAAAAAGUUGGCAGUUUGCACAGUGCUAAAAACUGCUCGAAGUCAUGGUAAUUUAGGAAUUGUUUGUAAUAUCUUUUGU